rnacentral:rRNA from 1 species
CGAAAGCGUGGGGAGCAAACAGGAUUAGAUACCCUGGUAGUCCACGCCCUAAACGAUGUCAACUGGUUGUUGGACGGCUUGCUGUUCAGUAACGAAGCUAACGCGUGAAGUUGACUGCCUGGGGAGUACGGCCGCAAGGUUGAAACUCAGAGGAAUUGACGGGGACCCGCACAAGCGGUGGAUGAUGUGGUUUAAUUCGAUGCAACGCGAAAAACCUUACCUACCCUUGACAUGUCUGGAAUCCCGAAGAGAUUUGGGAGUGCUCGAAAGAGAACCAGAACACAGGUGCUGCAUGGCCGUCGUCAGCUCGUGUCGUGAGAUGUUGGGUUAAGUCCCGCAACGAGCGCAACCCUUAUCAAUAGUUGCUACGCAAGGGCACUCUAUUGAGACUGCCGGUGACAAACCGGAGGAAGGUGGGGAUGACGUCAGGUCAUCAUGGCCCUUAUGGGUAGGGCUACACACGUCAUACAAUGGCCGGUACAGAGGGCUGCCAACCCGCGAGGGGGAGCUAAUCUCAGAAAACCGGUCGUAGUCCGGAUCGCAGUCUGCAACUCGACUGCGUGAAGUCGGAAUCGCUAGUAAUCGCGGAUCAGCUUGCCGCGGUGAAUACGUUCCCGGGUCUUGUACACACCGCCCGUCACACCAUGGGAGCGGGUUCUGCCAGAAGUAGUUAGCCUAACCGCAAGGGGGGCGAUUACCACGGCAGGGUUCGUGACUGGGGUGAAGUCGUAACAAGGUAGCCGUA